CCCUUAGAUGUCCGGGGCUGCACGCGCGCUACACUGAAGGAAUCAGCGUGCUAAAACCAUUGUCGAAAGGCAUUGGUAAACCCAUUAAAAUCCUACGUGAUUGGGAUCGGGAAUUGCAAUUAUUUCCCUUGAACGAGGAAUUCCCAGUAAGUGUGGGUCAUAAGCUCGCGUUGAUUACGUCCCUGCCCUUUGUACACACCGCCCGUCGCUGCCCGGGACUGAGCCGUUUCGAGAAAAGCGGGGACUGCUGCUGUCGGGGCUUUCGGGCCUUGGCUUCGGUGGAAACCGCUUUAAUCGCAGUGGCUUGAACCGGGCAAANGUCGUNACA
rnacentral:rRNA from 1 species